CAAAGCACCGCACCCUAAGCAAGAGAAAUUCUGGCUUCACAAAGUCCAGCAAAUACAUGGUAUCAGGAGCUCGCAGCCAGUCGGCAAUGGAUCUGUUGGCAGAGGACAUCAAUGAAGAUUACUGCUCAAGAAAGCCAGCCAACAGGACUUCGGCAGUAUGUCUGUGAGCUGUGCCCUGAUAAACAAGGCCAAUGCCAACCACCGCAGCCACUUGGACAUUGUGAGGCACAUCAAGCUCCGUGGACGUCGGGGGUAAGAGAGCAGGAACGUGGAUGCUAAGAAGCCGGGUAACGGACAUGUCCAUGGUGCCAAGUUUUGCAGCAGAAACACCAAGAAGCAAUCCAAUGCUUGUCAUCUCAUGGCCCUACAAAGGCAAACAAAAUAAAACUCAGACACUACCA